CAGCCGCCGCGGUAAUACGUAGGGUGCAAGCGUUAAUCGGAAUUACUGGGCGUAAAGCGUGCGCAGGCGGUUAUAUAAGACAGAUGUGAAAUCCCCGGGCUCAACCUGGGAACUGCAUUUGUGACUGUAUAGCUAGAGUACGGCAGAGGGGGAUGGAAUUCCGCGUGUAGCAGUGAAAUGCGUAGAUAUGCGGAGGAACACCGAUGGCGAAGGCAAUCCCCUGGGCCUGUACUGACGCUCAUGCACGAAAGCGUGGGGAGCAAACAGGAUUAGAUACCCCCGUAGUCCCUGUCUCUUAUAC
rnacentral:rRNA from 1 species